rnacentral:lncRNA from 1 species
GUAUGGGUCCUGUGCUUUCAGUAGUAUGGGCCCAUACUACCUUCCACACCUACCCANACCCCCAUCACGCAGGAUAUUGCGAAUCCUCGCAUCCAACUCGCUCGAGCUCGUCUGGUCGAUAACCUCAGACGACACUGAUCCACCCGGAACUCGCUCUCCAGCUCCCGAUCCUGAUCCGGAUCCACUAUCAUCAUGCCUCGAAAUCUCCAUACUGAAGACACCAUACCCAUCUCAGACACUUUCCACAAUCCUGAGAUCCAACUCUCGCAACCCAACCCCUAGAGAUCAUGGUUUUCCUGAUACGCGUAUGGGUCCUGUGCUUUCAGUAGUAUGGGCCCAUACUACCUUCCACACCUACCCAUAUUUGUAUGAAGUACUACCACAAAACCCUAGAGCACAUGCAUAACAACUAUCAACCCUCCCCACUAGAGGAAUACUGAGAAUACCCCAUAAGGGACCCUAGGCUACAGGCAUCACAAAUCAGGCAACAUUAUCAUGAAUUCCUGAAGAUCCCUAGCCUAACUCUAGCAUGCUGUGCUAUCAAGCUCAAUAAAACAAAUACCAUGUAUGGUAUCUUGGGGUUAAUUACUGGCUCCGGCUGAUCGUACCUCCGCGUCCUCCUUUUAUUAAAUUUGAAAACCAUUUUAAUUUCUCUUUUUAAAAUCCUCCUCGAUUUGAGACUGGAGUCACACGAAUGUUUCCCCAAUUCACUCAAACCAAGGCUCUGAUACCAACUUGUAACAUCCAAAAUUUCAAAACAAUUAAAACUUUUCAAAAACCACUCAUUUUAAUAACGUUGUUACAAAAAGGUUUU